rnacentral:rRNA from 1 species
AUUGAACGCUGGCGGCAGGCUUAACACAUGCAAGUCGAGCGGGGGAAGGUAGCUUGCUACCGGACCUAGCGGCGGACGGGUGAGUAAUGCUUAGGAAUCUGCCUAUUAGUGGGGGACAACAUCUCGAAAGGGAUGCUAAUACCGCAUACGUCCUACGGGCGAAAGCAGGGGAUCUUCGGACCUUGCGCUAAUAGAUGAGCCGAAGUCGGGUUAGCUAGUUGGUGGGGGAAAGGCGUACCAAGGCGACGAUCUGUAGCGGGUCUGAGAGGAUGAUCCGCCACACUGGGACGGAGACGCGGCCCAGACUCCUACGGAAGGCAGCAGUGGGGAAUAUUGGACAAUGGGGGGAACCCUGAUCCAGCCAUGCCGCGUGUGUGAAGAAGGCCUUAUGGUUGUAAAGCACUUUAAGCGAGGAGGAGGCUACUCUAGUUAAUACCUAGGGAUAGUGGACGUUACUCGCAGAAUAAGCACCGGCUAACUCUGUGCCAGCCGCCGCCGUAA